rnacentral:rRNA from 1 species
UGGCUCAGAGCGAACGCUUGGCGGCAGGCCUAACACAUGCAAGUCGAACGAACCCUUCGGGGUUAGUGGCGGACGGGUGAGUAACACGUGGGAACGUACCUUUAGGUUCGGAACAACACAGGGAAACUUGUGCUAAUGCCGAAUGUGCCCUUCGGGGGAAAGAUUUAUCGCCUUUAGAGCGGCCCGCGUCUGAUUAGCUUGUUGGUGAGGUAAAGGCUCACCAAGGCUUCGAUCAGUAGCUGGUCUGAGAGGAUGAUCAGCCACACUGGGACUGAGACACGGCCCAGACUCCUACGGGAGGCAGCAGUGGGGAAUCUUGCGCAAUGGGCAAAAGCCUGACGCAGCCAUGCCGCGUGAAUGAUGAAGGUCUUAGGAUUGUAAAAUUCUUUCACCGGGGAAGAUAAUGACGGUACCCGGAGAAGAAGCCCCGGCUAACUUCGUG